UACAGAGGUCUCAAGCGUUGUUCGGAUUCAUUGGGCGUAAAGGGUGCGUAGGCGGCGCGGUAAGUCGGGUGUGAAAUCUUGGAGCUUAACUCCGAAACUGCAUUCGAUACUGCCGUGCUUGAGGACUGGAGAGGAGACUGGAAUUUACGGUGUAGCGGUGAAAUGCGUAGAGAUCGUAAGGAAGACCAGUGGCGAAGGCGGGUCUCUGGGCCGAUACUGACGCUGAGGAGCGAAAGCGUGGGGAGCGAACAGG
rnacentral:rRNA from 1 species